rnacentral:rRNA from 1 species
GAUGAACGCUGGCGGCGUGCCUAACACAUGCAAGUCGAACGGAGUCGUUUUGGAAAUCUCUUCGGAGAUGGAAUUCUCGACUUAGUGGCGGACGGGUGAGUAACGCGUGAGCAAUCUGCCUUUAAGAGGGGGAUGACAGUCGGAAACGGCUGCUAAUACCGCAUAAAGCAUUAAAUUCGCAUGUUUUUGAUGCCAAAGGAGCAAUCCGCUUUUAGAUGAGCUCGCGUCUGAUUAGCUAGUUGGCGGGGUAACGGCCCACCAAGGCGACGAUCAGUAGCCGGACUUAGAGGUUGAACGGCCACAUUGGGACUGAGACACGACCCAGACUCCUACGAGAGGCAGCAGUGGGGAAUAUUGCGCAAUGGGGGAAACCCUGACGCAGCAACGCCGCGUGAUUGAAGAAGGCCUUCGGGUUGUAAAGAUCUUUAAUCAGGGACGAAACAAAUGACGGUACCUGAAGAAUAAGCUCCGGCUAACUACGUG